rnacentral:lncRNA from 1 species
UAUCUGAUUCAAUUCUUCAUGUAUGUAAUUUGGUUUUCUUUUGUAGUCUAUGCUCUAGCUUUUCAAUAGCUCCGAGAACCAAACUUUUUUGACACUCUCAGAGAGAAAGAUUGGGUUGGGAACAAAUAGAAAAGAGAUGUUUAGUCUGCAAACAUUUAUCUAAACUCUAAACCCUAUUUAAUCGAUUUCCCAAUUUUAAUGUAAAAUUUGGGGUUUUGAUUCUUUGAUCUAAUAUAAAAUUUGCAGAUAUGAUAUGCUAGAGUUUAUAUAUGAUUACCACUACAUGAAAUUGUUGUGGCUUUGAAACCCCCAGGCCUGAGUUUUCAGGGAGGAUACCCGAGAAAGAGAAAGCUAUAUUAGGCUUAUCGUGGACAUGUUGAAAAUUGUUGAAGGGAUGAAGUCAUUCAGUCUCCGAUCAAUAUGCAAACACUUGAGAUGCUGGAGAAGGAGGAGAAGCUCCUUGGCAGCGUUGUAAUAAAGAAACACUACUGUUUCUAUGAGUCGCAUUUGUAA